AUGUUGUAUAGCGCUGAGUGUUGGCCGACUAAAAGGCGACAUGUUCAACAGUUAGGUGUAGCGGAGAUGCGUAUGUUGAGAUGGAUGUGUGGCCACACGAGGAAGGAUAGAGUCCGGAAUGAUGAUAUACGAGAUAGAGUUGGGGUAGCACCAAUUGAAGAGAAGCUUGUCCAACAUCGUCUGAGAUGGUUUGAGCAUAUUCAACGCAGGCCUCCAAAAGCUCCACUGCAUAGCGGACGGCUAAAGCGUGUGGAGAAUGUCAAGAGAGGUCGGGGUAGACUGAAUUUGACAUGGGAGGAGUCUGUUAAGAGAUGUUAA
rnacentral:rRNA from 1 species